rnacentral:lncRNA from 1 species
AGGUCAAAGGAUCACUUACACAACUUUUACUAGAGAAUCAUCAGCUGAUAUAUAAAUAAAACUCCAUCAGAUGUUCUCUCGUAGGUCUAUUCAGUAAACUCAUUCUCUAAUGAGUACCCAUAUUCUUCUAUUAGUGUCACCAUAUAAAUGGUUGUGAGAUCAACCACCCUCAUUUCUGAGUAUACAGAGGACAUGCCAGUCUUAUCAGUAUCAUUGAUCCUCGACUUAAUGAACCAACGA